CGCAUNCAGCUAAGAUUNGUGGGGUAACGGCUCACCAAGGCGACAGAUACGUAGCCGACCUGAGAGGGGUAACGGCCACACUGUGGGAACUUGAAGACACGGGCCAAGGACUCCUACGGGGAGGCCAGC
rnacentral:rRNA from 3 species